GAGAAGCCCUGCUGCACCACUCGGGCUUCCCAGAGCGGGGCUGGCCCGCGGGGGAAACUGAGGCCCGGGACCCCGACCGGCGCCUGCACUGUGCGACCCGCGUAGAAAUAGGCGCCCGAGGGGCCCCCAGCGCAACGCGGGAGCCCGGCCCAGCCCGGGGGUCCUGUGGUGAACUAGCGUCUGGGCUCUGCCGGCUUGAAGUCCGCUGAGCGCCUCGCCGCGCACCUCUAGACCCCGAGUCCCCGAUCUAGGGCCUCCUUGUAGCCCUAGGUAGCGCCCUCUAAGCUUGUUUCUGUUUUUAGGCGCUGGUAGGAGUGCUGUCACCGACGUCGUAGAGCCGCCGAGGGUGUUUCUGUAGGGUAAACAUGAAGCCUCGGCUAUAUUCCAGGCAUUUUCACUUGGAAACAUUUUACAUAAAGUAUUUGAAGGUCUAGAUAAAGAAUAACAGAGUGAUCCAUACUACAUGAUGAGGAGCUGUCCAAACACCAUGCAGAUGCUCCUAGGAUUCUUAAACUAGCCAAAAAUAAUUCCAGGCAUUGUCAGAUAUAGGAUAAGUACAUGAAGACAGCAUUAGUCGCAGUAGCGAAGACACGGAAACAACCUAAGUGUUCACCAACAGAUGAAUGGAUGAAGCAAAUGUAGCAUAUAUACACAGUGGAAUACUAUUCAGCCUUUAAAAAGAAGGAAAUCUGGCUAACUGCAACAACAUGGAUGAACCUGGAGGAUAUUAUAUAAGUGAAAUAAGCCAGGCAUGGAAAGUUGUCUGCCCUAUUGCUCAACAAGAUAAAAUGUCUGGGCUGGUGGCUGGAGGCUGGAGGAAGAAUCUGGAAAGAGAGAGAGACUGUGGAAAAGGCAUAGAAAGACCUUUGAACUAGCAGAACAUAUUUCUUUGAGGGACUUAGGAACUUCAUUCUGGUAAGACUACAAGAUAUCAAACUUACUUGUGAAUUCUAACAUAGUCUCUUUUAUUAAUAAUCAAGAAUGUUUGAAAUUUAGGUACAAACUGUGUAUAGAAAUGAUUGGUUUGUUG
rnacentral:lncRNA from 1 species